UACGAAGGGGGCGAGCGUUGUUCGGAUUUACUGGGCGUAAAGGGCGCGCAGGCGGCGCAUCAAGUCAGGCGUGAAAGCCCCGGGCUUAACCUGGGAACUGCGUCUGGGACUGGUGGGCUAGAGAUCGGGAGAGGAGAGUGGAAUUCCCAGUGUAGAGGUGAAAUUCGUAGAUAUUGGGAAGAACACCAGUGGCGAAGGCGGCUAUCUGGACGGUUUCUGACACUAAGACACGAAAGCGUGGGGAGCAAACAGGG
rnacentral:rRNA from 1 species